AGAGUUUGAUCAUGGCUCAGAAUCAACGCUGGCGGCGCGCCUAACACAUGCAAGUCGAACGAGAAAGCCGCAAGGUGAGUAAAGUGGCGUACGGGUGAGUAACACGUGGAUCAUCUACCUUCUAGUGGGGAAUACCGUUGGGAAACCGACGACAAUACCGCAUAAGCUCGAGAGAGGAAAGCAGCAAUGCGCUGGAAGAGGAGUCCGCGGUCGAUUAGUUAGUUGGCAGGGUAAAGGCCUACCAAGACUGUGAUCGAUAGCCGGCCUGAGAGGGCACACGGCCACACUGGCACUGAAACACGGGCCAGACUCCUACGGGAGGCAGCAGUGGGGAAUCUUGCACAAUGGAGGAAACUCUGAUGCAGCGACGCCGCGUGAGCGAUGAAGCCCUUCGGGGUGUAAAGCUCUUUCGGCAGGGAAGAUUAUGACGGUACCUGCAGAAGCAGCUGCGGCUAACUACGUGCCAGCAGCCGCGGUAAUACGUAGGCAGCAAGCGUUGUUCGGAGUUACUGGGCGUAAAGGGUGCGUAGGCGGUCUUUUAAGUUUGGUGUGAAAUCUCCCGGCUCAACCGGGAGGGUGCGCCGAAUACUGAGAGGCUAGAGUGUCGGAGAGGUAAGUGGAAUUCCUGGUGUAGCGGUGAAAUGCGUAGAUAUCAGGAGGAACACCGGUGGUGUAAACGGCUUACUGGACGAUAACUGACGCUGAAGCACGAAAGCGUGGGUAGCAAACAGGAUUAGAUACCCUAGUAGUCC
rnacentral:rRNA from 1 species